CACAUGCAAGUCGAGGGGCAUCAGGAACCUUGCUUGCUUUCUUUGCUGGCGACCGGCGCACGGGUGAGUAACACGUAUCCAACCUGCCCUUUACUCGGGGAUAGCCUUUCGAAAGAAAGAUUAAUACCCGAUAGCAUAAUGAUUCCGCAUGGUUUCAUUAUUAAAGGAUUCCGGUAAAGGAUGGGGAUGCGUUCCAUUAGGUUGUUGGAGAGGUAACGGCCCACCAAGCCUUCGAUGGAUAGGGGUUCUGAGAGGAAGGUCCCCCACAUUGGAACUGAGACACGGUCCAAACUCCUACGGGAGGCAGCAGUGAGGAAUAUUGGUCAAUGGACGCUAGCCUGAACCAGCCAAGUAGCGUGAAGGAUGAAGGCUCUAUGGGUCGUAAACUUCUUUUAUAUAAGAAUAAAGUGCAGUAUGUAUACUGUUUUGUAUGUAUUAUAUGAAUAAGGAUCGGCUAACUCCGUGCCAGCAGCCGCGGUAAUACGGAGGAUCCGAGCGUUAUCCGGAUUUAUUGGGUUUAAAGGGAGCGUAGGUGGACUGGUAAGUCAGUUGUGAAAGUUUGCGGCUCAACCGUAAAAUUGCAGUUGAUACUGUCAGUCUUGAGUACAGUAGAGGUGGGCGGAAUUCGUGGUGUAGCGGUGAAAUGCUUAGAUAUCACGAAGAACUCCGAUUGCGAAGGCAGCUCACUGGACUGCAACUGACACUGAUGCUCGAAAGUGUGGGUAUCAAACAGGAUUAGAUACCCUGGUAGUCCACACAGUAAACGAUGAAUACUCGCUGUUUGCGAUAUACAGUAAGCGGCCAAGCGAAAGCAUUAAGUAUUCCACCUGGGGAGUACGCCGGCAACGGUGAAACUCAAAGGAAUUGACGGGGGCCCGCACAAGCGGAGGAACAUGUGGUUUAAUUCGAUGAUACGCGAGGAACCUUACCCGGGCUUAAAUUGCAGUGGAAUGAUGUGGAAACAUGUCAGUGAGCAAUCACCGCUGUGAAGGUGCUGCAUGGUUGUCGUCAGCUCGUGCCGUGAGGUGUCGGCUUAAGUGCCAUAACGAGCGCAACCCUUAUCUUUAGUUACUAACAGGUUAUGCUGAGGACUCUAGAGAGACUGCCGUCGUAAGAUGUGAGGAGGGUGGGGAUGACGUCAAAUCAGCACGGCCCUUACGUCCGGGGCUACACACGUGUUACAAUGGGGGGUACAGAAGGCAGCUAGCGGGUGACCGUAUGCUAAUCCCAAAAGCCUCUCUCAGUUCGGAUCGAAGUCUGCAACCCGACUUCGUGAAGCUGGAUUCGCUAGUAAUCGCGCAUCAGCCACGGCGCGGUGAAUACGUUCCCGGGCCUUGUACACACCGCCCGUCAAGCCAUGGGAGCCGGGGGUACCUGAAGUACGUAAACGCAAGGAUCGUCCUAGGGUAAAACUGGUGACUGG
rnacentral:rRNA from 1 species